GAAGUUUGWWUCAUGGCUCAGGAUGAACGCUGGCGGCGUGCCUAAUACAUGCAAGUCGAGCGAACUGACGAGGAGCUUGCUCCUUUGAYGUUAGCGGCGGACGGGUGAGUAACACGUGGGUAACCUACCUAUAAGACUGGAAUAACUCCGGGAAACCGGGGCUAAUGCCGGAUAACAUAUCGAACCGCAUGGUUCGAUAGUGAAAGACGGUCUUGCUGUCACUUAUAGAUGGACCCGCGCCGUAUUAGCUAGUUGGUGAGGUAACGGCUCACCAAGGCAACGAUACGUAGCCGACCUGAGAGGGUGAUCGGCCACACUGGAACUGAGACACGGUCCAGACUCCUACGGGAGGCAGCAGUAGGGAAUCUUCCGCAAUGGGCGAAAGCCUGACGGAGCAACGCCGCGUGAGUGAUGAAGGUCUUCGGAUCGUAAAGCUCUGUUGUUAGGGAAGAACAAAUGUGUAAGUAACUGUGCACAUCUUGACGGUACCUAACCAGAAAGCCACGGCUAACUACGUGCCAGCAGCCGCGGUAAUACGUAGGUGGCAAGCGUUAUCCGGAAUUAUUGGGCGUAAAGCGCGCGUAGGCGGUUUUUUAAGUCUGAUGUGAAAGCCCACGGCUCAACCGUGGAGGGUCAUUGGAAACUGGAAAACUUGAGUGCAGAAGAGGAAAGUGGAAUUCCAUGUGUAGCGGUGAAAUGCGCAGAGAUAUGGAGGAACACCAGUGGCGAAGGCGGCUUUCUGGUCUGUAACUGACGCUGAUGUGCGAAAGCGUGGGGAUCAAACAGGAUUAGAUACCCUGGUAGUCCACGCCGUAAACGAUGAGUGCUAAGUGUUAGGGGGUUUCCGCCCCUUAGUGCUGCAGCUAACGCAUAAGCACUCCGCCUGGGGAGAGG
rnacentral:rRNA from 1 species